rnacentral:rRNA from 1 species
GACAGAGGAUGCAAGCGUUAUCCGGAAUGAUUGGGCGUAAAGCGUCUGUAGGUGGCUUUUAAGUCCGCCGUCAAAUCCCAGGCUCAACCCUGGACAGGCGGUGGAAACUACCAAGCUGGAGUACGGUAGAGGCAGAGGGAAUUUCCGGUGGAGCGGUGAAAUGCGUAGAGAUCGGAAGAACACCAACGGCGAAAGCACUCUGCUGGCCGACACUGACACUGAGAGACGAAGCUAGGGAGCGAAUG